rnacentral:lncRNA from 1 species
UGGGGUAUUACAGGUUAAACAGUCCUAGUUAAGUAGGAAUGGCGUGCAAAGGUCCUACUUUAGUUAGAAAAUUUCUAUAGAUCAUUUGUAUUUAAUUUUGGGUAGAUUCAGCCACCUUUUCAUAUAGUUUCUAUGUCAAUUAGAAUUGAGUGGACUUUUAGGGAAGACUUAAGGUCUUGCUAAGAGUUUUAAGUUAAUGGU